GACGAACGCUGGCGGCGUGCUUAACACAUGCAAGUCGAACGGAAAGGCCCUGCUUUUGUGGGGUGCUCGAGUGGCGAACGGGUGAGUAACACGUGAGUAACCUGCCCUUGACUUUGGGAUAACUUCAGGAAACUGGGGCUAAUACCGGAUAGGAGCUCCUGCUGCAUGGUGGGGGUUGGAAAGUUUCGGCGGUUGGGGAUGGACUCGCGGCUUAUCAGCUUGUUGGUGGGGUAGUGGCUUACCAAGGCUUUGACGGGUAGCCGGCCUGAGAGGGUGACCGGCCACAUUGGGACUGAGAUACGGCCCAGACUCCUACGGGAGGCAGCAGUGGGGAAUAUUGCACAAUGGGCGGAAGCCUGAUGCAGCAACGCCGCGUGCGGGAUGACGGCCUUCGGGUUGUAAACCGCUUUCGCCUGUGACGAAGCGUGAGUGACGGUAAUGGGUAAAGAAGCACCGGCUAACUACGUGCCAGCAGCCGCGGUGAUACGUAGGGUGCGAGCGUUGUCCGGAUUUAUUGGGCGUAAAGGGCUCGUAGGUGGUUGAUCGCGUCGGAAGUGUAAUCUUGGGGCUUAACCCUGAGCGUGCUUUCGAUACGGGUUGACUUGAGGAAGGUAGGGGAGAAUGGAAUUCCUGGUGGAGCGGUGGAAUGCGCAGAUAUCAGGAGGAACACCAGUGGCGAAGGCGGUUCUCUGGGCCUUUCCUGACGCUGAGGAGCGAAAGCGUGGGGAGCGAACAGGCUUAGAUACCCUGGUAGUCCACGCUGUAAACGGUGGGUACUAGGUGUGGGGUCCAUUCCACNGGGUUCCGUGCCGUAGCUAACGCUUUAAGUACCCCGCCUGGGGAGUACGGCCGCAAGGCUAAAACUCAAAGGAAUUGACGGGGCCCCGCACAAGCGGCGGAGCAUGCGGAUUAAUUCGAUGCAACGCGUAGAACCUUACCUGGGUUUGACAUGGAUCGGGAGUGCCCAGAGAUGGGUGUGCCUCUUUUGGGGUCGGUUCACAGGUGGUGCAUGGCUGUCGUCAGCUCGUGUCGUGAGAUGUUGGGUUAAGUCCCGCAACGAGCGCAACCCUUGUUCACUGUUGCCAGCACGUUAUGGUGGGGACUCAGUGGAGACCGCCGGGGUCAACUCGGAGGAAGGUGGGGAUGACGUCAAGUCAUCAUGCCCCUUAUGUCCAGGGCUUCACGCAUGCUACAAUGGCUGGUACAGAGAGUGGCGAGCCUGUGAGGGUGAGCGAAUCUCGGAAAGCCGGUCUCAGUUCGGAUUGGGGUCUGCAACUCGACCUCAUGAAGUCGGAGUCGCUAGUAAUCGCAGAUCAGCAACGCUGCGGUGAAUACGUUCCCGGGGCUUGUACACACCGCCCGUCAAGUCAUGAAAGUUGGUAACACCCGAAGCCGGUGGCCUAACCGUUGUGGGGGAGCCGUCGAAGGUGGGACUGGUGAUUAGGACU
rnacentral:rRNA from 1 species